CCUACGGGAGGCUGCAGUGGGGAAUAUUGGACAAUGGGGGCAACCCUGAUCCAGCCAUGCCGCGUGUGUGAAGAAGGCCCUCGGGUUGUAAAGCACUUUCAGUGAGGAAGAACGCCUGGUGGUUAAUACCCAUCAGGAAAGACAUCACUCACAGAUGAAGCACCGGCUAACUCCGUGCCAGCAGCCGCGGUAAUACGGAGGGUGCGAGCGUUAAUCGGAAUUACUGGGCGUAAAGCGCGCGUAGGUGGCUUGAUAAGCCGGUUGUGAAAGCCCCGGGCUCAACCUGGGAACGGCAUCCGGAACUGUCAAGCUAGAGUGCAGGAGAGGAAGGUAGAAUUCCCGGUGUAGCGGUGAAAUGCGUAGAGAUCGGGAGGAAUACCAGUGGCGAAGGCGGCCUUCUGGACUGACACUGACACUGAGGUGCGAAAGCGUGGGUAGCAAACAGGAUUAGAUACCCCGGUAGUC
rnacentral:rRNA from 1 species